UACGAAGGGGGCUAGCGUUGUUCGGAAUUACUGGGCGUAAAGCGCGCGCAGGCGGUCCUUUAAGUCAGGGGUGAAAGCCCAGAGCUCAACUCUGGAACUGCCUUUGAAACUAGAGGACUUGGGUACGGGAGAGGUGAGUGUAAUUCCGAGUGUAGAGGUGAAAUUCGUAGAUAUUCGGAAGAACACCAGUGGCGAAGGCGGCUCACUGGCCCGUUACCGACGCUCAGGCGCGACAGCGUGGGGAGCAAACAGG
rnacentral:rRNA from 1 species